AUUGAACGCUGGCGGCAUGCCUUACACAUGCAAGUCGAACGGCAGCGGGGGAGAAGCUUGCUUUUCCUGCCGGCGAGUGGCGAACGGGUGAGUAAUACAUCGGAACGUGCCCUGUAGUGGGGGAUAACUAGUCGAAAGAUUAGCUAAUACCGCAUACGACCUGAGGGUGAAAGUGGGGGACCGCAAGGCCUCAUGCUAUAGGAGCGGCCGAUGUCUGAUUAGCUAGUUGGUGGGGUAAAGGCCUACCAAGGCGACGAUCAGUAGCUGGUCUGAGGGGACGAUCAGCCACACUGGGACUGAGACACGGCUCAGACUCCUACGGGAGGCAGCAGUGGGGAAUUUUGGACAAUGGGCGAAAGCCUGAUCCAGCAAUGCCGCGUGUGUGAAGAAGGCCUUCGGGUUGUAAAGCACUUUUGUCCGGGAAGAAAUGGCUCUGGUUAAUACCUGGGGUCGAUGACGGUACCGGAAGAAUAAGGACCGGCUAACUACGUGCCAGCCGCCGCAGUAA
rnacentral:rRNA from 1 species